rnacentral:rRNA from 1 species
GAUGAACGCUGGCGGCGUGCUUAACACAUGCAAGUCGAACGAGAAAUGGAGACGGAAACCUUCGGGCGGAAGGCUUCAUUUCGAGUGGCGGACGGGUGAGUAACGCGUGGGUAACCUGCCUCAUACAGGGGGAUAACAGUUGGAAACGACUGUUAAUACCGCAUAAGACCACAGCACCGCAUGGUGCGGGGGUAAAAACUCCGGUGGUAUGAGAUGGACCCGCGUUCGAUUAGCCAGUUGGCGGGGUAACGGCCCACCAAAGCGACGAUCGAUAGCCGAUCUGAGAGGAUGACCGCCCACAUUGGGACUGAGACACGGCCCAAACUCCUACGGGAGGCAGCAGUGGGGAAUAUUGCACAAUGGGGGAAACCCUGAUGCAGCGACGCCGCGUGAGUGAAGAAGUACUUCGGUAUGUAAAGCUCUAUCAGCAGGGAAGAAAAUGACGGUACCUGAGUAAGAAGCCCCGGCUAACUACGUG